rnacentral:rRNA from 1 species
UACGGGGGGAGCAAGCGUUGUCCGGAAUUAUUGGGCGUAAAGAGCUCGUAGGCGGUUUGUCGCGUCUGCUGUGAAAACUCGGGGCUUAACUCCGGGCCUGCAGUGGGUACGGGCAGACUAGAGUGCGGUAGGGGAGACUGGAAUUCCUGGUGUAGCGGUGAAAUGCGCAGAUAUCAGGAGGAACACCGGUGGCGAAGGCGGGUCUCUGGGCCGUAACUGACGCUGAGGAGCGAAAGCGUGGGGAGCGAACAGG